rnacentral:rRNA from 1 species
UAGUAACGGCGAGUGAAGAGGGAAGAGCCCAAGAUUGAAAGCUGGCGUCUUCGGCGUCCGCAUUGUAAUCUCAAGAAGUGUUUUCCGCUUCGGACCAAGCCUAAGUCCCUUGGAAAAGGGCAUCAUAGAGGGUGAUAAUCCCGUACAUGGCUUGGAGCGCCCGAAGCUUUGUGAUACGCUUUCUAAGAGUCGAGUUGUUUGGGAAUGCAGCUCAAAAUGGGUGGUAAAUGCCAUCUAAGGCUAAAUAUUGGGGAGAGACCGAUAGCGAACAAGUACAGUGAUGGAAAGAUGAAAAGAACUUUGAAAAGAGAGUUAAACAGUACGUGAAAUUGCCAAAAGGGAAGGGUAGGAGGUCAGAGAUGCGGCCUGGGAUUCAGCCUUGCUUUUGCUUGGUGUUUUUCCCAGAUUGCAGGCCAACGUCGGUUUUGGGCACUGGAGAAGGGUAGGAGGAACGUGGCACCUCUCGGGGUGUGUUAUAGCCUCCUACUGGAUACAGCGACCGAGACCGAGGACAGCAGCGUACUCGCAAGAGCGGGCCUUCGGGCACCUUUACGCUUAGGGCGUUGGCAUAAUGGCCCUCUACCACCCGUCUUGA